rnacentral:rRNA from 1 species
GACGAACGCUGGCGGCGUGCUUAACACAUGCAAGUCGAACGGAAAGGCCCUGCUUUUGUGGGGUGCUCGAGUGGCGAACGGGUGAGUAACACGUGAGUAACCUGCCCUUGACUUUGGGAUAACUUCAGGAAACUGGGGCUAAUACCGGAUAGGAGCUCCUGCUGCAUGGUGGGGGUUGGAAAGUUUCGGCGGUUGGGGAUGGACUCGCGGCUUAUCAGCUUGUUGGUGGGGUAGUGGCUUACCAAGGCUUUGACGGGUAGCCGGCCUGAGAGGGUGACCGGCCACAUUGGGACUGAGAUACGGCCCAGACUCCUACGGGAGGCAGCAGUGGGGAAUAUGGCACAAUGGGCGGAAGCCUGAUGCAGCAACGCCGCGUGCGGGAUGACGGCCUUCGGGUUGUAAACCGCUUUCGCCUGUGACGAAGCGUGAGUGACGGUAAUGGUAAAGAAGCACCGGCUAACUACGUG